rnacentral:lncRNA from 1 species
GAUCGUGUAGAUGCAGCCCUGCCAAUCCGUACGAACUCGUGAAAGAAAAAAGGUUUUGGCGAAGUCACUGGCUUGAAAGUAAAGUACGAGGAAAGAGUAGAUUUGUUGUAUUGAUUGAUGUGUUGUUUUACAAGCCUCUUAAGGCAGCUAUUUAUACCCUAUUACAACUGAUUUCUUAACCGAUUAGAAUCUAUCUCUAAUUUUAAACGACAACAAAUAUUUACAAACACAACUCGUAUCCGAGUUGGUUAUUAUUUUCCCACGGGCCAAUCUCCAUCUUCAGCUAAUCUUCAUCUUGAC